AGAGUUUGAUCAUGGCUCAGGAUAAACGCUGGCGGCGUGCCUAACACAUGCAAGUCGAACGCUCUCGCGCAAGUGAGAGAGUGGCGGACGGGUGAGUAAAACGUGGGUCAUCUGCCUUUCGGUGAGGAAUACCGGCGAGAAAUCGCCGACAAAACCGCAUGAGAUCGGUGAAAGCCGAGGAAAGUCGAAAGACGCCGAAAGAUGAGCCUGCGACCGAUUAGCUAGCUGGUGGGGUAAAAGCUCACCAGGGCGACGAUCGGUAGCUGGUCUGAGAGGACGAUCAGCCACACUGGGAUUGAGAACGGCCCAGACUCCUACGGGGGGCAGCAGUGAGGAAUUUUCGUCAAUGGUCGCAAGACUGAACGAGCAACGCCGCGUGCCGGAAGAAGGUUUUCGGAUCGUAAACGGCUUUUCUGUGGGAAGAGAAUGGACGGUACCACAGGAAGAAGCCCCGGCUAACUACGUGCCAGCAGCCGCGGUAAGACGUAGGGGGCAAGCGUUGUCCGGAUUUAUUGGGCGUAAAGGGCGUGCAGGCGGUUGGGUAAGUUUGGGGUGACAGUGCUCGGCUUAACUGAGCAAGGGCCUCGAAAACUGCUGAACUUGAGGACCAGAGAGGGACACAGAAUUCCGGGUGGAGUGGUGAAAUGCGUAGAUAUCCGGAGGAAUACCAAAGGCGAAGGCAGUGUCCUGGCUGGUAACUGACGCUGAGGCGCGAAAGCUAGGGGAGCGAACAGGAUUAGAUACCCUAGUAGUCC
rnacentral:rRNA from 1 species